UACGUAGGGGGCGAGCGUUGUCCGGAUUUAUUGGGCGUAAAGAGCGUGUAGGCGGUUCGGUAAGUCUGUCGUGAAAUCCCUGAGGGCUCAACCUCGGGCGUGCGAUGGAUACUGCCGGGCUAGAGGAUGGUAGAGGCGAGUGGAAUUCCCGGUGUAGCGGUGAAAUGCGCAGAUAUCGGGGAAGGAACACCAGUAGCGGAAGGCG
rnacentral:rRNA from 1 species